UCNUCUGGCUUAACUGGGGGCUUGCGGUGGGUACGGGCCGGCUUGAGUGCGGUAGGGGAGGCUGGAACUCCUGGUGUAGCGGUGGAAUGCGCAGAUAUCAGGAAGAACACCGGUGGCGAAGGCGGGUCUCUGGGCCGUUACUGACGCUGAGGAGCGAAAGCGUGGGGAGCGAACAGGAUUAGAUACCCUGGUAGUCCACGCCGUAAACGUUGGGCACUAGGUGUGGGGGGCCUUUUCCGGGUUUUCCGCGCCGUAGCUAACGCAUUAAGUGCCCCGCCUGGGGAGUACGGCCGCAAGGCUAAAACUCAAAGGAAUUGACGGGGGCCCGCACAAGCGGCGGAGCAUGCGGAUUAAUUCGAUGCAACGCGAAGAACCUUACCAAGGCUUGACAUGUGCCGGUCGGCUCCGGAGACGGGGUUUCCUCCUUGUGGGGCCGGUUCACAGGUGGUGCAUGGUUGUCGUCAGCUCGUGUCGUGAGAUGUUGGGUUAAGUCCCGCAACGAGCGCAACCCUUGUCUCGUGUUGCCAGCACGUUGUGGUGGGGACUCGCGGGAGACUGCCGGGGUCAACUCGGAGGAAGGUGGGGAUGACGUCAAAUCAUCAUGCCCCUUAUGUCUUGGGCUUCACGCAUGCUACAAUGGCCGGUACAGAGGGCUGCGAUACCGUGAGGUGGAGCGAAUCCCUUAAAGCCGGUCUCAGUUCGGAUCGGUGUCUGCAACUCGACACCGUGAAGUUGGAGUCGCUAGUAAUCGCAGAUCAGCAACGCUGCGGUGAAUACGUUCUCGGGCCUUGUACACACCGCCCGUCACGUCAUGAAAGUCGGCAACACCCGAAGCCCGUGGCCUUACGGG
rnacentral:rRNA from 1 species